rnacentral:rRNA from 1 species
AGAGUUUGAUCAUGGCUCAGAUUGAACGCUGGCGGCAGGCCUAACACAUGCAAGUCGAACGGUAACAGGAAGAAGCUUGCUUCUUUGCUGACGAGUGGCGGACGGGUGAGUAAUGUCUGGGAAACUGCCUGAUGGAGGGGGAUAACUACUGGAAACGGUAGCUAAUACCGCAUAACGUCGCAAGACCAAAGAGGGGGACCUUCGGGCCUCUUGCCAUCGGAUGUGCCCAGAUGGGAUUAGCUAGUAGGUGGGGUAACGGCUCACCUAGGCGACGAUCCCUAGCUGGUCUGAGAGGAUGACCAGCCACACUGGAACUGAGACACGGUCCAGACUCCUACGGGAGGCAGCAGUGGGGAAUAUUGCACAAUGGGCGCAAGCCUGAUGCAGCCAUGCCGCGUGUAUGAAGAAGGCCUUCGGGUUGUAAAGUACUUUCAGCGGGGAGGAAGGGAGUAAAGUUAAUACCUUUGCUCAUUGACGUUACCCGCAGAAGAAGCACCGGCUAACUCCGUGCCAGCAGCCACGGUAAUACGGAGGGUGCAAGCGUUAAUCGGAAUUACUGGGCGUAAAGCGCACGCAGGCGGUUUGUUAAGUCAGAUGUGAAAUCCCCGGGCUCAACCUGGGAACUGCAUCUGAUACUGGCAAGCUUGAGUCUCGUAGAGGGGGGUAGAAUUCCAGGUGUAGCGGUGAAAUGCGUAGAGAUCUGGAGGAAUACCGGUGGCGAAGGCGGCCCCCUGGACGAAGACUGACGCUCAGGUGCGAAAGCGUGGGGAGCAAACAGGAUUAGAUACCCUGGUAGUCCACGCCGUAAACGAUGUCGACUUGGAGGUUGUGCCCUUGAGGCGUGGCUUCCGGAGCUAACGCGUUAAGUCGACCGCCUGGGGAGUACGGCCGCAAGGUUAAAACUCAAAUGAAUUGACGGGGGCCCGCACAAGCGGUGGAGCAUGUGGUUUAAUUCGAUGCAACGCGAAGAACCUUACCUGGUCUUGACAUCCACGGAAGUUUUCAGAGAUGAGAAUGUGCCUUCGGGAACCGUGAGACAGGUGCUGCAUGGCUGUCGUCAGCUCGUGUUGUGAAAUGUUGGGUUAAGUCCCGCAACGAGCGCAACCCUUAUCCUUUGUUGCCAGCGGUCCGGCCGGGAACUCAAAGGAGACUGCCAGUGAUAAACUGGAGGAAGGUGGGGAUGACGUCAAGUCAUCAUGGCCCUUACGACCAGGGCUACACACGUGCUACAAUGGCGCAUACAAAGAGAAGCGACCUCGCGAGAGCAAGCGGACCUCAUAAAGUGCGUCGUAGUCCGGAUUGGAGUCUGCAACUCGACUCCAUGAAGUCGGAAUCGCUAGUAAUCGUGGAUCAGAAUGCCACGGUGAAUACGUUCCCGGGCCUUGUACACACCGCCCGUCACACCAUGGGAGUGGGUUGCAAAAGAAGUAGGUAGCUUAACCUUCGGGAGGGCGCUUACCACUUUGUGAUUCAUGACUGGGGUGAAGUCGUAACAAGGUAACCGUAGGGGAACCUGCGGUUG